rnacentral:tRNA from 1 species
GGGCUUGUAGUCUAACGGUAUGACGCUGUCUUCGCAUGGCAGAGACUCGGGGUUCGAUUCCCCGCAAGUCCA